rnacentral:rRNA from 1 species
AGACCGCGGCCUAUCAGCUUGUUGGUGAGGUAAUAGCUCACCAAGGCAACGACGGGUAGCUGGUCUGAGAGGAUGUCCAGCCACAUUGGAACUGAGAUACGGUCCAAACUCCUACGGGAGGCAGCAGUUAGGAAUCUUGCACAAUGGGGGAAACCCUGAUGCAGCGAUGCCGCGUGCGGGAUGAAGGCCCUAGGGUUGUAAACCGCUUUCAGUAGGGAAGAAAGUGACGGUACCUACAGAAGAAGCCCCGGCCAACUAUGUGCCAGCAGCCGCGGCGAUACAUAGGGGGCUAGCGUUGUCCGGAUUUACUGGGCGUAAAGAGCUCGUAGGCGGUUUAAUAAGUCGACAAGUGAAAUCUCCAGGCUCAACCUGGAGCAGCCUUGCGAUACUAUUAUGACUUGAGUGUGGUAGAGGAGUGUGGAAUUCCCAGUGUAGCGGUGAAAUGCGCAGAUAUUGGGAGGAACACCUAUGGCGAAGGCAGCACUCUGG